rnacentral:rRNA from 1 species
ACUCAAAUGAAUUGACGGGGGCCCGCACAAGCGGUGGAACAUGUGGCUUAAUUCGAUGCAACGCGAAGAACCUUACCUAGGCUUGACAUAUAUUGGACGAUCUACGAAAGUAGGUUUCUCUUUGGAGCCGGUAUACAGGUGCUGCAUGGCUGUCGUCAGCUCGUGUCGUGAGAUGUUCGGUUAAGUCCGGCAACGAGCGCAACCCUCGCCCUUAGUUGCCAGCGGGUAAAGCCGGGAACUUUAAGGGGACAAACUUCUAAAGUGGGAAGGUGGGGAUGAUGUCAAGUCAGCAUGGCCCUUACGUCUAGGGCUGCACACGUGUUACAAUGCCCGGUACAAUGAGAAGCAAGACCGCGAGGUGGAGCAAAUCUAUAAAGCCGGGCCCAGUUCAGAUUGAAGUCUGCAACUCGACUUCAUGAAGCCGGAAUCGCUAGUAAUGGCGCAUCAGCUAUGGCGCCGUGAAUACGUUCUCGGGCCUUGUACACACCGCCCGU